rnacentral:rRNA from 1 species
CCUACGGGGGGCAGCAGUGGGGGAUAUUGCACAAUGGGGGAAACCCUGAUGCAGCGACGCCGCGUGGGCGAAGAAGGUCUUCGGAUCGUAAAGCUCUGUCCUUGAGGAAGAAGGAAGUGACGGUACUCAAGGAGGAAGCCCCGGCUAACUACGUGCCAGCAGCCGCGGUAAUACGUAGGGGGCAAGCGUUAUCCGGAAUUAUUGGGCGUAAAGAGUACGUAGGUGGCUUUGU